CGGUAAUUCCAGCUCCAAUAGCGUAUAUUAAAAUUGUUGCGGUUAAAACGCUCGUAGUUGGAUAUCUGCCAAGGGGUUCCGGUCCUCCCCAGUGGAGAAUACACGAAACUCUUCUUGGCAUUUGUUCAGGGAAGGUGUUUGCACUUUAUUGUGUGUCACAUGAUCUGAAUUUUUACUUUGAGGAAAUAAGAGUGUUUCAAGCAGGCUUUUGCCGUGAAUAUGAUAGCAUGGAAUAAUAGCACAGGACCCCUUUCCAAAGCUGUUGGUUUUUGGAACGAGGUAAUCAAAAUAAGGAUAGUUGGGGGUAUUCGUAUUUAAUUGUCAGAGGUGAAAUUCUUGGAUUUUUUAAAGACGAACUAUUGCGAAGGCAUCUGCCCAGGAUGUUUUUGUUGAUCAAGAACGAAAGUUAGGGGAUCGAAGACGAUCAGAUACCGUCCUAGUCUUAACCUUAAACUAUGCCGACUGGAGAUUGGAGUCGUCAGAUUUUGACGUCUUCAGCAUCCUGAGAGAAAUCUAAGUCUUUGGGUUCCGGGGGGAGUAUGGUCGCAAGGCUGAAACUUAAAGGAAUUGACGGAAGGGCACCACCAGGAGUGGAGCCUGCGGCUUAAUUUGACUCAACACGGGGAAACUUACCAGGUCCAGACAUAGAUAGGAUUGACAGACUGAUAGCUCUUUCUUAAUUCUAUGGGUGGUGGUGCAUGGCCGUUCUUAGUUGGUGGAGUGAUUUGUCUGGUUAAUUCCGUUAACGAACGAGACCUUAACCUGCUAAAUAGUUGCCAGAACUCCGGUUCUCGGUUUACUUCUUAGAGGGACUUCGUGUGUCUAACAUGAGGAAGUUUGAGGCAAUAACAGGUCUGUGAUGCCCUUAGAUGUCCUGGGCUGCACGCGCGCUACACUGAUGUGUCCAGUAAGCACCUAACCUAAUCCGAAGGGACCGGGUAACCUUUGCAACGCACAUCGUGAUGGGGAUAGAUUAUUGCAAUUAUUAGUCUUGAACGAGGAAUUCCUAGUAAGCACAAGUCAUCAGCUUGUGUUGAUUACGUCCCUGCCAUGUGUACACACCGCCC
rnacentral:rRNA from 1 species